CCGUGCCUGAUGCUCGAAGGUCAAGGCCUUCCGGCCUGCGCACAUCAUUUGGUCGGGGUAGCGGCGGCGUCGAUGCAAUUGGUCGUCGCUCCAGGCGCCAUCGUGGAUACGGCGGGUGCUCCCCCGCGCGUCCCGGCGCAGCUCGGCCGGCGUCGAUGCCUUCGGCAAUCGCCGGCCCGGCCUGUACACCCCCGACAGAUCC
rnacentral:sRNA from 20 species